AAGUCGUAACAAGGUUUCCGUAGGUGAACCUGCGGAAGGAUCAUUAACACGUAUCCAACGUUAAACCACCCGUGCACCUUCAUCUUACCAGCACCGAAACGAGUCUUUGCGGCAUGUUAAGUCUCUCCGGGGCUUCCAGAGCUGGUAACCCGAACAACUGUUAACAAUGGAUAUCUUGGCUCUC
rnacentral:misc_RNA from 1 species